UCCGAGUUGACCCCGGCAGUCUCCCAAGAGUCCCCGGCAUUACCCGCUGGCAACAUGGGACAGGGGUUGCGCUCGUUGCGGGACUUAACCCAACACCUCACGGCACGAGCUGACGACAGCCAUACAGCACCUGUGCUAGCCCCCGAAGGACACGGGCUUUCACCCGCUUUAACUAGCAUGUCAAGCCCAGGUAAGGUUCUUCGCGUUGCAUCGAAUUAAGCCACAUGCUCCGCCGCUUGUGCGGGUCCCCGUCAAUUCCUUUGAGUUUUAAUCUUGCGACCGUACUCCCCAGGCGGGAUGCUUAAAGCGUUAGCUUAGGCACUGCCCCAUAGAGCGGGGCAACACCGAGCAUCCAUCGUUUACAGCGUGGACUAC
rnacentral:misc_RNA from 1 species